CUGAAGCCCCAGUCAUCAAGACCCCGUACAUCAUGUCCAACGCCAUCUGUCUGCGCUGCCCAUGGCUGUGAUGGGUGCCGCUACCUCCUGUCCCCUCCAACUGCCAGGCAUGCAAGCUUCCUCCUGCUCCACCAGCUCUCCCACUGGCUCUGACACCUUUGUCACCUCCCAUGUCGUGUGGUGGAAAUGCAUGGUGCUGGGGCAGGCCCAAACUCCCACCCUGACAGCAGGCACAUUUCCAAAAGCUCUGUUCACUUCCUCAUCCUGCUGGCUCGUGAGAAGAUCCUGUUGUCAGCUCUGCCCACCAGCACAGCAGAGGUGGGAUUGUUACGGGCAGCCUGGAAAACAGCAGGGGAAUAACCAUUUCCCCCUUUGGAUGUUAUUUGUUGAGAAAUGCUGUCUGGGAAGUGUUGAGUCAGGGCCUGAACCACUGAUGGAGCAUCUGGGGAAAGGACCCAGUCAGCCCUGGGAGCAUAGGUGAGGGCAGUUCAGUUGUAUGAUGGAAUGAGGGGAGCCUGGCUGCACCUCUCCUAGACCUCAUUGAAGGGCUGACUCUGCAUGGGCAAGGAUCUCUGGUUGGAGAUCCCUCCCUUGUGGAGUUUUCCCUGUGAGCCUGGAUCUUCAGAAACAGGUGAGCACUUUCCUUUGUCUUUGUAACACCCUUCUGUUGUGCCAGUCCCUUUGUGGUUACACCUCCUUCCACUGCACUGAUCAUUCUGAUUGUUACAGAUGUCCUCUGCCCCUUCCCACCUGUAAAGCAAACUUGCUUGUACAGCAAGCCACCUGUAGAGGUGAUGACAGAGCCUUUAUUUGAGAUAUAGGAGAUAUAGAACAAGAUAUCAAAGCAAGAGGAAUCGACUCAUCCCUCCCAGCUACAGUUUGGCAGAAAGUGGUGAGCUGAGGAAUGCAGCCUUCUGUGUUUGAACUACGGUGUGCUGAAAGAUCACAUCCCAGGUGCUGUCUGUCUGUGGUAGGUACCAGAGCAAGGAGGCCUCUCUGUGCCAUUGUUGCAGUGAUUUCAGUCUGUGGCACCCACAUUUGGACGCAUGGAUGCUCCAUCUGGAUGUUAAUUUUCAGGGGGAUCAAAGCUUUUUGGAAUAUGGGCUUCUCUUUCCGUAUUAUAUGCAUUUUGUGCAGUUGAGUCUUGCAGUAUCUUUAUAAUUCACCCUUCUGCCAUAAGGUGGGAUGGUGUAAUGUCCUGUUCUUCAGACGAACCGAGAGUGCUGACCAGAUGGUGAAUGAGACAAGGGAUUCACUGCUUCUGACUGAUAAGAAUCCUGGGCAUCAGGUUUCCAGUCCUGCUAACAAACAGUGGGGUUUGUGCACGUACCUCCAUGGGCUCACAUGGAAACAGACGUCAAGCAUCAGAAGAUUCCUGGGUGCGUGUUUAAGGCUUACUGCGUUCUCUAAAGACUGAAAUAGAAUUUUCCCGAUGCUGUAAGUUCUGAUCUUAUGGAAUGUACGUACUGGGAGAAAUUGCUCCUGGUGGCUGAAAUAAAUGCUGGGGUUCUUCAGUGCAGAGCUGUCACGGUUCUGGUCUGCCUGGUGCUACAGCGGAAGAGCCUGGGCUAUUCUGGGAGAGAACCAUGUUCAUUGUACUUAAGCAGGAGAAUGUCCCUGCACUGUUAUUCAGAAGAUAAGCUGUUCUAAUCAACCUUACCUCGGGACCUUGUUUCUCAAAUACAAGCAAGACAGGACUGUGCAUGCGUGUGCAUUGCAUAUAAUGCUGGUGUUUGGUUUUCAUGAGGUUCACAGAUUGGUGCCUGCUUGCUCUGAAGUUGGCUCUUGGAAUGCAGUGAUUCAGUGUCUCACUGACAGUGUGACAAGUAGGACUUGAUUCCUGCAGGUUUGUUUCCUUGCCUAGCUUUAUUUCCACUGCUGCGUAACAGUCUCUGCAAGAGCUGCUUAUAAAAGGAAUGAAGUGCACAUUUUGCUGCAAAAUUAGCACAGACUUUUGCCCAUUUCCUUGGAAAAGUGAACCUAUCGUGCCUUGUUGUUAUCAAGGGAUUUGUUUGCUGGAGGCAAGCUGAGGAAUGGUGCCUGGGGCCUGUGGGCACAAAUAGAUCCCAGUUUCCUGUUCAGGCAGCAGCCUUUAAAUGUUGCAUUAGCAAUAUUAGUAAGGCCAGACAGAUCCAGGGAUGUCUGUGCUCGAGGCUUGAAGUAAGGCUGGAGAAAAGCAAAACAGUUGACUUAAAACAUGUGUGCUUAGAAGCUGGGAAGUGAUGAGAAGUGUCUUCCUCUGUCCUCACGGCAGUUCUGCUGAGUAAUAAUCACUUGGCAAACUGCAGCAGCGUGGCAGGGGAGCUCAGGGUUGCAAUUUAGGAAGAGGAUAUUGAGGGAGGCUAAAGGCUUUGCUAAUGCUUGGCUGGAUGUAAGAAAUGUUCUGUGUUAAGAACGUGUUUUCUAUGUCAGCGGUCCACAGCAUCUGAGGUACUUAACUCAGUGCAAAUGAGAAAAGCUGAUGCUUUUUGUCUACUUGGUAGUGGAACAAGGAAAAUUGAGGAAGGUUUUUGGAACAACUUUAUUCUUCCCUUCUUUCCUGGAAAAAAAAAAAAAAAAAAUUCAGGUGGCCUGGGCUCUCUGUCAUUUAUUCUUUCUGAGCCCUUGGAGCUGGAUUUCUGUUCUUGGCUUUUCAUAGGAGACUGGGCCAACAGAAAACAGCUGAUCCAGGAGCUCAGCUGGAUCCAGGCUGACCUGCUGUUUAGUAAGUCCCCUCCAAGCUCAGUUAAAAACUUCAGUUUUCUUCUCUAAGUUAUGUUUGUCUGAGUUAAGCAAGCACUGAAGCAAAUCUGUUUACCUCUGUUUUUCUUUCUAUGCUGCUCUUUCACUUCUGGACCUCCUGUAAGAAUGACCACAUGCUUUGCUUUUCACUGAUUCUGGGGUAUCACAGUGAACUUCCUCAAUCACAUAUCUCGUUGUGAGCCAUAGUUAAGGAUGGAGGCGCUUUUCCUCCCUGCAUAUCUGCUGCUUUCCUGGCUUUCAGUAGAAACCCCCUUGUGAGCAGUGUAAUGGCUCAACCCUUCCUGCUGAGCAGCACGGUGGGUUGUGGCUGAGUGCUGACACCGUGACUGUGCAGGGUGGGCUGGUGCAGCACACAGCUGUGAUGGCUCUGUUCCUUCACUGAUCCAGUCCUUGUUCAGCUUAGUUGCAUUUUUUUGGUGGGUUUUGUUGUUGUUCUGUAACAGUAACAUGAUGUGCAAAUGUAACGAGCUGAAACAGGGAAGAGAAGAGCAAACCAAAACUGCUCUUGGUUGUGUCCAAUGUGUAAUUAAAUGAGUACCUCUGUAUAUUUUUAAGAGGUUUAAAGUGGUCUCUGGAUUACUGCUCAUCUCAUUUCACACUGCCCUGCAGUGUUUUCACUUUCGGUGCCCUUUGGCUCUGGUUCUUAACUCUAUUAUAUAGGCUCCACUUCAGAUCUUCUUUCAAGGCCCUGUGCCUGAACUGUUGCCUGGUGCAGAAUCUCUUGAGUGCUUUUAGCACUGAGUGCACAACAUCCCCAGGUUCCUGCUCACCGCUGCAGUACCGUCCUCAGGGAAUUCCAGAAGCUUUGCUCAGUGUGGCCUCUUCUGCCUUCCAGCAUCACGGCCUCAAGCAAGCAGCUUUCUGCAUUUUCAUAGCAUACUUUCUCUCCACAGUUGAUUUUCAGCAUUCUGGCUGAUAGAGUUACCACUCUUCUCUUGACCUGUUUCAUAGCGAUAUUAAAAUGAACGCUUUUCUAACACAGUUCACCAAAGAUGAAGUCUGUAUUGUAGGAGUCUGAGCAUGGGAUCAUUUGUGUGACGUGUUGUAGUUGUGAUGGACUAAGAGCUAAGAUGUUUUUAAAGACAUAGGAGCUUUUGUGUAUAAGAGUUUGGUAUGAAUAAUAAAGUUUCUGGGUUUUU